UAUAUAGGAGUCCACACCUGGAACAGUGGAUACAGUAGAUCGGGUUGGAGGAGGCAGUCUGACCGCCGGUAUUUCACUUGAAAUAUAUAUGUGACUCAGCGUAAGGAACUGGAGACAGUUUUGAGGCUGGUUCUGGUCUCCUCAGCAAGGGGAAACAUCAUUCAUGCUUGUUUAGGAGCACAAGGAUUUUAUAUGUUUCACGGUGGCACAGCAGUAGAGUUGCUGCUAAAAAGCGAAUGCAGCGCCGGAGACCCGGGUUCGA